UACAGAGGUCUCAAGCGUUGUUCGGAUUCAUUGGGCGUAAAGGGUGCGUAGGCGGCGCGGUAAGUCGGGUGUGAAAUCUCGGAGCUUAACUCCGAAACUGCAUUCGAUACUGCCGUGCUUGAGGACUGGAGAGGAGACUGGAAUUCAUGGUGUAGCAGUGAAAUGCGUAGAGAUCAUGAGGAAGACCAGUGGCGAAGGCGGGUCUCUGGACAGUUCCUGACACUGAGACACGAAGGCCAGGGGAGCAAACAGG
rnacentral:rRNA from 1 species